GUGCUCUCUUCAUCAGCACAUAUGCUAAAAUUGGAAAGAUACAGAGAAGAUUAGCAUGGCCCCUGCUCAAGGAUGACAUGCAAAUUCAUGAAGCAUUCCAUAUUUCC
rnacentral:snRNA from 1 species